GUAAUCCAGGACUAAUCUGUUGUCUGAGUCAUCAGGAUCCUUAUCUUGCUGCUUCGCCAUUCUUAAUUUCAGAUACUUCCUGUAAGUUGAAUCAAAUCUGACAAGAGGUUUAUGAAUGCUACAAAUACAUAUGCCACCAUCUGAUAUCCUAGAAUGGUUAUUACCAGUGGGUCCCAGAGGAUUUCAUCCCAGAGGAUUUCACUUUCCAGGGUAUGUACUUU